rnacentral:rRNA from 1 species
AGAGUUUGAUCCUGGCUCAGGACGAACGCUGGCGGCGUGCCUAAUACAUGCAAGUAGAACGCUGAAGAGAGGAGCUUGCUCUUCUUGGAUGAGUUGCGAACGGGUGAGUAACGCGUAGGUAACCUGCCUUGUAGCGGGGGAUAACUAUUGGAAACGAUAGCUAAUACCGCAUAACAAUGGAUGACACAUGUCAUUUAUUUGAAAGGGGCAAUUGUUCCACUACAAGAUGGACCUGCGUUGUAUUAGCUAGUAGGUGAGGUAAUGGCUCACCUAGGCGACGAUACAUAGCCGACCUGAGAGGGUGAUCGGCCACACUGGGACUGAGACACGGCCCAGACUCCUACGGGAGGCAGCAGUAGGGAAUCUUCGGCAAUGGGGGCAACCCUGACCGAGCAACGCCGCGUGAGUGAAGAAGGUUUUCGGAUCGUAAAGCUCUGUUGUAAGUCAGGAACGGGUGUGAGAGUGGAAAGUUCACACUGUGACGGUAGCUUACCAGAAAGGGACGGCUAACUACGUGCCAGCAGCCGCGGUAAUACGUAGGUCCCGAGCGUUGUCCGGAUUUAUUGGGCGUAAAGCGAGCGCAGGCGGUUUGAUAAGUCUGAAGUUAAAGGCUGUGGCUCAACCAUAGUUCGCUUUGGAAACUGUCAAACUUGAGUGCAGAAGGGGAGAGUGGAAUUCCAUGUGUAGCGGUGAAAUGCGUAGAUAUAUGGAGGAACACCGGUGGCGAAAGCGGCUCUCUGGUCUGUAACUGACGCUGAGGCUCGAAAGCGUGGGGAGCGAACAGGAUUAGAUACCCUGGUAGUCCACGCCGUAAACGAUGAGUGCUAGGUGUUGGAUCCUUUCCGGGAUUCAGUGCCGCAGCUAACGCAUUAAGCACUCCGCCUGGGGAGUACGACCGCAAGGUUGAAACUCAAAGGAAUUGACGGGGGCCCGCACAAGCGGUGGAGCAUGUGGUUUAACUCGAAGCAACGCGAAGAACCUUACCAGGUCUUGACAUCCCGAUGCUAUUUCUAGAGAUAGAAAGUUACUUCGGUACAUCGGUGACAGGUGGUGCAUGGUUGUCGUCAGCUCGUGUCGUGAGAUGUUGGGUUAAGUCCCGCAACGAGCGCAACCCCUAUUGUUAGUUGCCAUCAUUCAGUUGGGCACUCUAGCGAGACUGCCGGUAAUAAACCGGAGGAAGGUGGGGAUGACGUCAAAUCAUCAUGCCCCUUAUGACCUGGGCUACACACGUGCUACAAUGGUUGGUACAACGAGUUGCGAGUCGGUGACGGCGAGCUAAUCUCUUAAAGCCAAUCUCAGUUCGGAUUGUAGGCUGCAACUCGCCUACAUGAAGUCGGAAUCGCUAGUAAUCGCGGAUCAGCACGCCGCGGUGAAUACGUUCCCGGGCCUUGUACACACCGCCCGUCACACCACGAGAGUUUGUAACACCCGAAGUCGGUGAGGUAACCUUUUGGAGCCAGCCGCCUAGGGUGGGACAGAUGAUUGGGGUGAAGUCGUAACAAGGUA